AGUAUCAGAUAAUAGAAUGAUCCACGUAAAGAGGUCUUGGACAGGAAGAGAAUGUGUCUAAACAGGAGAAUCUGGGCGGAAACAGAAGAACAAAGCUGACAUAAGCAC
rnacentral:lncRNA from 1 species